GGAUCCAGACUUUGAUUCUGGCUCAGGACGAACGCUGGCGGCGUGCCUAAUACAUGCAAGUAGAACGCUGAAGAGAGGAGCUUGCUCUUCUUGGAUGAGUUGCGAACGGGUGAGUAACGCGUAGGUAACCUGCCUUGUAGCGGGGGAUAACUAUUGGAAACGAUAGCUAAUACCGCAUAACAAUGGAUGACUCAUGUCAUUUAUUUGAAAGGGGCAAAUGCUCCACUACAAGAUGGACCUGCGUUGUAUUAGCUAGUAGGUGAGGUAACGGCUCACCUAGGCGACGAUACAUAGCCGACCUGAGAGGGUGAUCGGCCACACUGGGACUGAGACACGGCCCAGACUCCUACGGGAGGCAGCAGUAGGGAAUCUUCGGCAAUGGGGGCAACCCUGACCGAGCAACGCCGCGUGAGUGAAGAAGGUUUUCGGAUCGUAAAGCUCUGUUGUAAGUCAAGAACGAGUGUGAGAGUGGAAAGUUCACACUGUGACGGUAGCUUACCAGAAAGGGACGGCUAACUACGUGCCAGCAGCCGCGGUAAUACGUAGGUCCCGAGCGUUGUCCGGAUUUAUUGGGCGUAAAGCGAGCGCAGGCGGUUUGAUAAGUCUGAAGUUAAAGGCUGUGGCUCAACCAUAGUUCGCUUUGGAAACUGUCAAACUUGAGUGCAGAAGGGGAGAGUGGAAUUCCAUGUGUAGCGGUGAAAUGCGUAGAUAUAUGGAGGAACACCGGUGGCGAAAGCGGCUCUCUGGUCUGUAACUGACGCUGAGGCUCGAAAGCGUGGGGAGCGAACAGGAUUAGAUACCCUGGUAGUCCACGCCGUAAACGAUGAGUGCUAGGUGUUGGAUUCUUUCCGGGAUUCAGUGCCGCAGCUAACGCAUUAAGCACUCCGCCUGGGGAGUACGACCGCAAGGUUGCAACUCAAAGGAAUUGACGG
rnacentral:rRNA from 1 species